GCAAAAAUCCUUAGUUUUCUCCUUUUUGGGUAAGAAAGAAAAAAAUAUGUUUUAUAUCCCUCACGGAUCUGCCCUAAAAAUGGGUUAAAAGACAGAAAAUUUCGAAGAAAAUAUGAUGUAUUAAGUCAGAUAACAAAAAAUGUCACGUCAACAUUUUUAUUAAAAUGAUACAAGCUGAAUUGGGUUGUGUUGCACUUGUGUUGCAAGUUGUGCAACUUUCUGGACAAAAUUCUGAAAUUCAUCAUAUGCAUCAACACAGGCUAAAUGAGAUUGUGUCCAAGUUUGCACAGCUUUCGGCCUGAGAUUGCUAACUGCGACACAACUGCGACAUAAGUUACACAAGUUGUAUUAUAAGUUGUUUACCUUUCUGUUUUUUUAAAACUCAAUUCCUAAUUUUUUUCUUGAAAACUUUGCAAUUCAGCUUUGAUUUCUUCCAAAUGGCUGCUCUG
rnacentral:misc_RNA from 1 species